CUACGGGACGCAGCAGUGGGGAAUAUUGCACAAUGGGCGCAAGCCUGAUGCAGCCAUGCCGCGUGUAUGAAGAAGGCCUUCGGGUUGUAAAGUACUUUCAGCGGGGAGGAAGGGAGUAAAGUUAAUACCUUUGCUCAUUGACGUUACCCGCAGAAGAAGCACCGGCUAACUCCGUGCCAGCAGCCGCGGUAAUACGGAGGGUGCAAGCGUUAAUCGGAAUUACUGGGCGUAAAGCGCACGCAGGCGGUUUGUUAAGUCAGAUGUGAAAUCCCCGGGCUCAACCUGGGAACUGCAUCUGAACUGGCAAGCUAGAGUCUCGUAGAGGGGGGUAGAAUUCCAGGUGUAGCGGUGAAAUGCGUAGAGAUCUGGAGGAAUACCGGUGGCGAAGGCGGCCCCCUGGACGAAGACUGACGCUCAGGUGCGAAAGCGUGGGGAGCAAACAGGAUUAGAUACCCCUGUAGUC
rnacentral:rRNA from 1 species